rnacentral:rRNA from 1 species
GACGAACGCUGGCGGCGUGCUUAACACAUGCAAGUCGAACGGUAAGGCCCUUCGGGGUACACGAGUGGCGAACGGGUGAGUAACACGUGGGUGAUCUGCCCUGCACUUCGGGAUAAGCCUGGGAAACUGGGUCUAAUACCGGAUAGGACAACUGCCUGCAGGGGUGGUGGUGGAAAGCUUUUGCGGUGUGGGAUGGGCCCGCGGCCUAUCAGCUUGUUGGUGGGGUGAUGGCAUACCAAGGCGACGAGGGGUAGCCGGCCUGCGAGGGUGACCGGCCACACUGGGACUGAGAUACGGCCCAGACUCCUACGGGAGGCAGCAGUGGGGAAUAUUGCACAAUGGGCGCAAGCCUGAUGCAGCGACGCCGCGUGAGGAAUGACGGCCUUCGGGUUGUAAACCUCUUUCAGCACCGACGAAGCGCAAGUGACGGUAGGUGCAGAAGAAGGACCGGCCAACUACGUGCCAGCCGCCGCCGUAA